rnacentral:rRNA from 1 species
ACGUAUGGGGCUAGCGUUGUUCGGAAUUAUUGGGCGUAAAGGGCGUCUAGGCGGGGGAUUAAGUUGGGUGUGAAAUCCCUGGGCUCAACCCAGGAACUGCAUCCAAAACUGGUUCUCUUGAGUUCGGGAGAGGAGAGCGGAAUUCCCGGUGUUGCGGUGAAAUGCGUAGAAUUCGGGAAAAACACCCGUGGCGAAGGCCGCUUCCUGGCCUAGAAAUGGCGCUUAAGCGCCGAAGCGUGGGGAGCGAACGG